GAAAUGCGAUACGCAAUGCGAAUUGCAGAAUCCGCGAGUCAUCAGAUCUUUGAACGCAAUUGGCGCCGAUACCCUCGGCAUGUUUGUUUCAGUGUGGAAGGAAUCACAAAUCAAAAUGCGAUUGAAAGGACUCAUCCUCCCUUCUCUCGUUAAACACGUCCGGUGUCCGCGCGAAUAGCUGGAUUUCAGCUGCCGCCACCCAACAAACGAAGUAGUCUCUCUCAAGAGAUCUCGUUUGGCUUUCGGGAUAAACGGCGCGGCUGGCCUCUAUUCACAAAACGUGCGGACCCACCUCUAAUUUAUGUUUUUCAAUUACACCUGAAAUCAAGCAAGACGACCCGCUGAACUUAA
rnacentral:misc_RNA from 1 species